rnacentral:SRP_RNA from 2 species
GCUGUGGUGGGCACAUGACUGUAGUACCAGCUACUUGGGAGGCUGAGGCAAGAGGAUUGCCUGAGUCCAGGAGUUCUGGGCUAUAGUGUGCUAUGCUGAUUGGGUGUCUGCACUAAGUGUGGCCCCAGUAUGGUGACCUCCUAGGAGUGGGGGACCACCAGGUUGCCUAAGGAGGGGUGAACUGGCCCAGUUUGGAAAUGGAGCAGGUCAAAACUCCCGUGCUGAUCAAUAGUGGGAUUGCACUUGUGAAUAGCCACUGCACUGCAGCCUGGGCAACAUAGUGAGACCCCAUCUCUU